UACAGAGGGUGCAAGCGUUGUUCGGAAUCAUUGGGCGUAAAGGGCGUGUAGGCGGUUUGUUAAGUCAUGUGUGAAAUCCCUCGGCUCAACCGGGGAACGACGCAUGAAACUGGCAAGCUAGAGUACCAAAGAGGCUGGUGGAAUUCCCGGUGUAGCGGUGGAAUGCGUAGAGAUCGGGAAGAACAUCGGUGGCGAAGGCGGCCAGCUGGGCCGUUGCUGACGCUGAGGCGCGACAGCGUGGGGAGCAAACAGG
rnacentral:rRNA from 1 species